CACCACCCCCCGGCGUCAGGCUCGGCAGCGUGAGCGCCGCCUGGGCUUCAUAUAGGGCGGGCUCCCGGCCACGUCAGCCAGCAGCCAGCCACCUGACCGGAGCCGCCCUGCGGCUGGGGCAGCUGCAAGGUGCUAGCAGGUAUGCAGAGGAUGAUUCUCUCUGAACAGGGCCGCCCCAAGCAACAACAACAAAAAAUCCCACGGCGGCCAGAACAGCAAAGCAA